rnacentral:rRNA from 1 species
UACGUAGGGUGCAAGCGUUAAUCGGAAUUACUGGGCGUAAAGCGUGCGCAGGCAGUGAUGUAAGACAGGUGUGAAAUCCCCGGGCUUAACCUGGGAACUGCAUUUGUGACUGCAUCGCUGGAGUGCGGCAGAGGGGGAUGGAAUUCCGCGUGUAGCAGUGAAAUGCGUAGAUAUGCGGAGGAACACCGAUGGCGAAGGCAAUCCCCUGGGCCUGCACUGACGCUCAUGCACGAAAGCGUGGGGAGCAAACAGG